ensembl:lncRNA
AAGACUGUUGUCAUAAAACAGAAGAAUGCAAGAAGGUAAUCCAAACAACAGGUUUUGACAAAUACACGUGGAUAGCAGGUGAGUGACUGGUCAACAGAGCAAUGCUGAGAUAGUUCAGUGAAUAACAGUCUUAUCUUUGUAGGUUUGGAUGAACUGGUGUUGGUGAGCUGGAUCCGGAGGUUGGAUGCAGAUGAAUAUUGAUCGGAAGAAGAUAUCAAAGACGAAAAUCUCAGGGGAAAGUGAAAUUCGCUAAAGAUCUGAACCCAACAGAACUGAGAAGGCAACAGAAAAAGUGGAGGGAGAAUUCAGCCGCUUACAGGAGAAAGAAAGCAUUUCAGGAGGUUUUAGUCAAUAUUAAAGAAGAAAUUAAUCAAGUCAUCCCAGAGUCAGAGCCGUCCACCUCCUCUGAU